GACGAACGCUGGCGGCGUGCUUAACACAUGCAAGUCGAGCGGUAAGGCCCUUCGGGGUACGACGAGCGGCGAACGGGUGAGUAACACGUGGGUGACCUGCCCUUAGCUCUGGGAUAAGCCUGGGAAACUGGGUCUAAUACCGGAUAUGACCUCAUGACGCAUGUUGUGGGGUGGAAAGCCUUGUGCGGCUAGGGAUGGGCCCGCGGCCUAUCAGCUUGUUGGUGGGGUGAUGGCCUACCAAGGCGACGACGGGUAGCCGGCCUGAGAGGGCGACCGGCCACACUGGGACUGAGACACGGCCCAGACUCCUACGGGAGGCAGCAGUGGGGAAUCUUGCGCAAUGGGCGAAAGCCUGACGCAGCGACGCCGCGUGAGGGAUGACGGCC
rnacentral:rRNA from 1 species